rnacentral:rRNA from 1 species
AGAACGAACGCUGGCGGCAGGCUUAACACAUGCAAGUCGAACGCCCCGCAAGGGGAGUGGCAGACGGGUGAGUAACGCGUGGGAAUCUCCCCAGAGGUACGGAACAACUCAGGGAAACUUGAGCUAAUACCGUAUGUGCCCGAGAGGGCAAAGAUUUAUCGCCUUUGGAUGAGCCCGCGUUGGAUUAGCUAGUUGGUGGGGUAACGGCCUACCAAGGCUACGAUCCAUAGCUGAUCUGAGAGGAUGAUCAGCCACACUGGGACUGAGACACGGCCCAGACUCCUACGGGAGGCAGCAGUGGGGAAUCUUGGACAAUGGGCGAAAGCCUGAUCCAGCCAUGCCGCGUGAGUGAAGAAGGCCUUAGGGUUGUAAAGCUCUUUUACCCGGGAAGAUAAUGACGGUACCGGGAGAAUAAGCCCCGGCAAACUUCGUGCCAGCAGCCGC